rnacentral:rRNA from 1 species
UACACAUGCAGUCGAACGGAAAGGCCUGCAGCUUGCUGCGGGUACUCGAGUGGCGAACGGGUGAGUAACACGUGGGUGAUCUGCCUUGCACUUCGGGAUAAGCUUGGGAAACUGGGUCUAAUACCGGAUAGGACAGCUGUUUAGUGUCAGUUGUGGAAAGUUUUUUCGGUGCAAGAUGAGCUCGCGGCCUAUCAGCUUGUUGGUGGGGUAAUGGCCUACCAGGGCGUCGACGGGUAGCCGGCCUGAGAGGGUGUACGGCCACAUUGGGACUGAGAUACGGCCCAGACUCCUACGGGAGGCAGCAGUGGGGAAUAUUGCACAAUGGGCGGAAGCCUGAUGCAGCGACGCCGCGUGGGGGAUGAAGGCCUUCGGGUUGUAAACUCCUUUCGACGGGGACGAAGCGUAUGUGACGGUACCUGUAUAAGAAGCACCGGCUAACUACGUGCCAGCAGCCGCGGUAAUACGUAGGGUGCGAGCGUUGUCCGGAAUUACUGGGCGUAAAGAGCUCGUAGGUGGUUUGUCGCGUCGUCUGUGAAAUUCCGGGGCUUAACUCCGGGCGUGCAGGCUAUACGGGCUGACUUGAGUGCUGUAGGGGAGACUGGAAUUCCUGGUGUAGCGGUGAAAUGCGCAGAUCUCAGGAGGAACACCGAUGGCAAAGGCGGGUCUCUGGGCAGUAACUGACGCUGAGGAGCGAAAGCAUGGGUAGCGAACAGGAUUAGAUACCCUGGUAGUCCAUGCCGUACACGGUGGGCGCUAGGUGUAGGGGGCUUCCACGUCUUCUGUGCCGUAGCUAACGCAUUACGCGCCCCGCCGGGGGAGUACGGCCGCAGCGCUAACACUCAGAGGAAUUGACGGGGGCCCGCACAAGCGGCGGAACAUGUGGAUUAAUUCGAUGCAACGCGAAGAACCUUACCUGGGCUUGACAUAUACCAGACAGGCGUAGAGAUACCUCCUCCCUGUGGUUUGUAUACAGGUGGUGCAGGGUUGUCCUCUACUCGCGCCCUGAGAUGUUGUGUUAAUUCCCGCCACGAGGGCACCCCUUGUCUUUAUUUCCCCCAUUUGUUGGGGACCCCAGAAGAACGCCCGGGUCACCCCCAAGAAAGGUGGGGGGAACUC